CUGUCUCCUGUCAGCAAAAGCAUCAAAUAUUUUUCAGUAGCAGCGUUUGUGAAUUCAGAGUCCUGCACUACUGACACCCUGGUGACAUUUUUUUUAUGUGAAAGUCAGAGAGAGAGAGAGAGAGAGAGAGAGAGAGAGAGAGAAGGGGGUGGGGUCUUCCAUCUGCUGAUUCACUUUCCAAAUGGCUGCAACGGCCAGAGCUGAGCCGAUCAGAAACCAGGAGCCGGAUGCUUCUUCUAGGUCUCCCACUGCUUUCCCAGGUGCAUCGGCAGAGAGCUGGGCCAGAAGUGGAGCAGCCGGGACCAAGCCUGUGUCCACAUGAGAUGUCCAUGCCACAAGUGGCGGCUUUACCCACUGUGCCACAGCGCUGGCCCCUCAGCCUAGUAACUUUAAAGAAAACAUAUACAUAAAAUCUGAACUCUAGAAGUGGAGAAUUAGCCUUAGGAAUGAUCAGACUGAUUCCACAGAUGGAGAAACUGAGGCAGGGCACAUCAAGGGUGCGUUCUCUUGGGAACAUGAUGGAGCCCUGAUGGAGGUACUUGGCGCUCACAGCUCACCUGCAGCCUAUGUCUGCUACACGAAUUCACUGUCUACCUGAACCUCCACCCAACCUGUUUGUACACUCGGAAAACCCAACGAGAGCCCGGGCUCGGGAGAUCCUCGUGGCAACACUGCAGCCUGCAGGCAGCUGAGUUUGGAAGAGCAAAGAUGAGAAACACCCAGACUCCCAUCAGUAGGGAACUGUUUCAACGCCUGACGGAAAGCUGUACCCUCUGUGUGACACAGCCUUCACGUGAGAAGGAGGACACCAUGGACGUACGGGCUUGGAGCAUCCCCAAGGAAAACCAUGUCUGUGCCAAAGAAAGGAGUAUCAUGUUCUUGACUCUUGAGGUCGUCAAGAUUUCCCAGCCUACAACAUGUUUAAAUCUAAGCCCUAUAGUUUCAAAAUUGAACUCGACAUUUAUAUAAUAAAAACACUUCCCGAUGUGGCCUUCUCCUUCAAAACAAGAACCAGGCCAAGGAAGCUCAACUCCAAGGUGAGACUAUGUGCAAUGUCAGCACGUCUGCAUGUCCUCCUGGUCUGGGAAGCACUCAUCUCUAUGCACUUUUUACAGCGCCACUGUCCUCUAUUCCCACGAGAAGACGCUGCACCAGCAAAUGGCAGCAGAACACAACACAAAGUCCUAAGUACACAUUCAAAUAGUAAAAGUGCUUGUUAGCAAUGAAUUUUAUUCAUUCACCUUAUUAGAGCUGUAAGUGGGGAGACUUCCAGUUUCCAGUCCGGCACCCAGAAAGCAUAGAGCCCAUCACUUCUGACCUCAAAACAAGGACCAAGCCAAACCAAAUGAAAAUCAACUACUCUUCUCUUCACUCAUUCCUGAUAGGAACGCAAAAUGGAACAGCCACUUUGGAGGACGGUGUCACAGCUUCUUAGGGAGCUAACCACACUCAUCAUUCAACUCAGCAGUUGCUACUUACCCAAAUGAGGUACAACUUUUCUCAUCGCAAAGCACCUGCAUAUAGGUGUUGCUAGCAGUCUGAUUCACACCUCCAAAACUCGCCUACAGCAAGGUCCCUUGGAUAGGUGAAUAAGCAGUAUUACAUCAAUACUCAGUGAUUUAAAAAAAAAAAAAAAAAAGCUGAGCUAUCCCACUACAAAGACAUGGAAAAAGCAUAAGAGCAUCUUUGCUAAAUGCAGGAAGCCCGUCUGAGAAGGCUACACGGUGUGUGACUUCACCCAUCUGACAUUCCAGGAAGGUAAAACUGCAGAGACAGGAAACUGGGCAGGGGUUUCCAGGGGUUGGAAAUGUACAAAGCAGGACAAAUGUACAAAAUGUAAGCUGCAGGACAUUAAUAAUACAGCAAACUGAGAGAGGGCAAGCAGGAAAAUGGGAACUCGGUUUUCUGCGAACCUAAACUUGGAUAUAAUGAGCCAUAAAAAAUAGUAAAGCAGCAUUCUCAAAGGGCCCAGCGACUGCGCAUCUGGGUAUGGACCCAGAAGUCCCAACAGCAAGGACUCAAAGAGAUACCUCAGCUCCACUGUCACGUCAGCAUCAUUCCAAAGAGCCCAAACAUGGAAGCAACCCAAGGGCCCAGCCAGGGAUGAAGCCAUAAACAAAAUGUGGUAUGCCCACGCAAUGGAAUACUACUCAGCCAGAAAAGGUAAGGAAUUCCUAACACAUUCUACAACUACUACCCAAACAGUGCUCUAUACUCUGUGUGUCUUUGUGGGUACAGUCAGUUGAAAUCUUCACUUAGUAUAUACUAAGUUGAUCUUCUGUAUAUAAAGAUAAUUGAAAAUGAAUCAUGAUGAAGAAUGGGAUGGG